rnacentral:rRNA from 1 species
GCAUAUCAAUAAGCGGAGGAAAAGAAACCAACAGGGAUUGCCCCAGUAACGGCGAGUGAAGCGGCAACAGCUCAAAUUUGAAAUCUGGCCCCCAGGGCCCGAGUUGUAAUUUGCAGAGGAUGCUUUUGGCGCGGUGCCUUCCGAGUUCCCUGGAACGGGACGCCAUAGAGGGUGAGAGCCCCGUCUGGUCGGACGCCUAGCCUGUGUAAAGCUCCUUCGACGAGUCGAGUAGUUUGGGAAUGCUGCUCUAAAUGGGAGGUAUAUGUCUUCUAAAGCUAAAUACCGGCCAGAGACCGAUAGCGCACAAGUAGAGUGAUCGAAAGAUGAAAAGCACUUUGAAAAGAGGGUUAAAUAGUACGUGAAAUUGUUGAAAGGGAAGCGCUUGUGACCAGACUUGGGCCCGGUGGAUCAUCCAGCGUUCUCGCUGGUGCACUCCGCCGGGUUCAGGCCAGCAUCAGUUCGCCGCGGGGGAAAAAGGCUUCGGGAACGUGGCUCCUACGGGAGUGUUAUAGCCCGUUGCAUAAUACCCUGGGGCGGACUGAGGUUCGCGCUCCGCAAGGAUGCUGGCGUAAUGGUCAUCAGCGACCCGUCUUGAAACACGGACCAAGGAGUCGUCUUCGUAUGCGAGUGUUCGGGUGUAAAACCCCUACGCGUAAUGAAAGUGAACGCAGGUGAGAGCUUCGGCGCAUCAUCGACCGAUCCUGAUGUUCUCGGAUGGAUUUGAGUAAGAGCAUACGGGGCCGGACCCGAAAGAAGGUGAACUAUGCCUGUAUAGGGUGAAGCCAGAGGAAACUCUGGUGGAGGCUCGCAGCGGUUCUGACGUGCAAAUCGAUCGUCAAAUAUGGGCAUGGGGGCGAAAGACUAAUCGAACCUUCUAGUAGCUGGUUUCCGCGA